rnacentral:rRNA from 1 species
GCCAGCACUUCGGGUGGGGACUCAUGGGAGACUGCCGGGGUCAACUCGGAGGAAGGUGGGGACGACGUCAAAUCAUCAUGCCCCUUAUGCCUUGGGCUUCACGCAUGCUACAAUGGCCGGUACAAAGGGUUGCGAUGCUGUGAGGUUGAGCCAAUCCCAAAAAGCCGGUCUCAGUUCGGAUUGGGGUCUGCAACUCGACCCCAUGAAGUCGGAGUCGCUAGUAAUCGCAAAUCAGCAACGCUGCGGUGAAUACGUUCCCGGGCCUUGUACACACCGCCCGUCAAGUCACGAAAGUCGGUAACACCCGAAGCCGGUGGCCCAACCCUUGUGGGGGGAGCCGUCGAAGGUGGGACUGGCGAUUGGGACUAAGUCGUAACAAGGUAGCCGUACCGGAA